UCCCUUGUCCUGGAUGGAACCUGAUCCCUUGUCCUGGAUGGAACCUGAUCCCUUGUCCUGGAUGGAACCUGAUCCCUUGUCCUGGAUGGAACCUGAUCCCUUGUCCUGGAUGGAACCUGAUCCCUGUCCUGGAUGAAUUAUUUCAAUAUUCACUGAACUAAAAUAUAAACACAACAUACAACAAUUUCAACGAUUUUACUGAGUUACAGUUCAUAUAAAGAAAUUAGUCAAUUUAAAUGAAUUCAUUAGGUCCUAAUCUAUGGAUUUCACAUGACUGGGAAUACAGAUCUGCAUCUGUUGGUCGCAAAUACCUUAAAAAAAGGGUGUGUGGAUCAGAAAACCAGUCAGUAUCUGGUGUGACCACCAUUUGCCUCAUGCAGUGCGACACAUCUCCUUCACAUAGAGUUGAUCAGGCUGUUGAUUGUGGCCUGUGGAAUGUUGUCCCACUCCUCUUCAAUGGCUGUGCGAAGUUGCUGGAUAUCGGUGGGAACUGGAACACUCUGUCGUACACGUCGAUCCAGAGCAUCCCAAACAUGCUCAACAGGUGACAUGUCUGGUGAGUACGCAGGCCAUGGAAGAACUGGGACAUUUUCAGCUUCCAGAAAUUGUGUGCAGAUCCUUGUGAUGAGGUAAUGAAUGGCACGAAAAUGGGCCUCAUGAUCUCGUCACGAUAUUUCUCGACAUUCAAAUUGCCAUCGAUAAAAUGCAAUUGUGUUCGUUGUCCGUAGUUUAUGCCUGCCCCAUUCCACAACCCCACCGCCAACAUGGCGCCACUCUGUUUACAACGUUGACAACAGCAAACCGCUCGCCAGACGACCCAGAGUCCCACACGACACCACCAUCAUAGAGGUGAAACCGGGAUUCAUCCAUGAAGUACCCAUUUUGUCCAGCGUGCCAGUGGCCUUCGAAGAUAUCUUUGGUUGUGCAGUUUAAUCAGAUGUCCGGGUGGCUGGUCUCAGACGAUCCCGCAGGUGAAGAAGCCGGAUGUGGAGGUCCUGGGUUGGCGUGGUUACACGUGGUCUGCGGUUGUGAGGCCGGUUGGACGUACUGCCAAAUUCUCUAAAACAACGGAGGCAGCUUAUGGUAGAGAAAUGAACAUUAAAUUCUCUGGCAACAGCUCUGGUGGACAUUCCUGCAAUCAGCAUGCCAAUUGCACUCUCUCUCAAAACUUGAGACAUCUGUGUCAUUGUGUGACAAAACUGCACAUUUUAGAGUGGCCUUUUAUUGGCCCCCAGCACAAACUGCACCUACUGUAUGCAAUGAUCAUGCUGUUUAAUCAGCUUCUUGAUAUGCAACACCUGUCGGGUGGUGGAUUAUCUUGGCAAAGGAGAAAUGCUCAUUAACAGGGAUGUAAACACAUUUGUGCACAAAAUUUGAGAGAAAUAAGCUUUUUUUUGUGCACAUGGACAUUUUCUGGGGAAUCAUUAAUUUCAGCUCAUUAAACAUGGGACCAACACUUGUACAUGUUGUGUUUAUAUUUUUGUUGUUCCUCUCUCCUCCCAUAAUAUUGGACAUCUUGUUUAAUACAGAAUAAGUACUCUUAUACUCACCUGAGACCUAAUGUGGAGAGAGAAGGGGACCUAGGGAAUGAUGGUACAAUAUGACAAUACAACAGACCUUUUCCUCAUGAAUCUACGGUUUGCUUAUAUUUGUGAACGAGACCAUGGGAACCCACCCUGCUCUAACAUGGGGGGGUUUAGGGAGACAGAGAGUGACUGUGCCACAGAAGGAGGUGUGUCUGGCGGUGAUGAGCGUGCAGUAGAGGUGUCAGGGUUCUGCGUCCCAAAUGGCACCCUAUUCCCUAUAUAGACACACUACUUUUGACCAGAACUAUGGACCCUGGUCAAAAGUAGUGCACUAAAAAAAAAGGUAACAGGGAGCCAUUUUGGAACGCAGACAUGGGUGGGUGAAUAUUUGGAGCGCGCUGUAGAGGUGUCAGAAUGAUCUAUGAUAGCUGAAGCAGAAACAGAAGCGGUCCCUCUCUCCCUCUGAAUGCUGAGUACCAUUGACCCUGAUGGAUGUCUAAACACAGGUUUGUGUCCCAUAUGACACCCUAUUCCCUAUAUAGUUAGUGCACUACCUUCGACCAGAUAUAUAGGGAAUAGGGUUUGGUCAAAAGUAGUGCACUAUAGGGAAUAGGGUGCCAUUUGGGAUGCAUAACUAAAUACUCUGGUCUGUUUGGUUUCCCUUACAGCACAGAUGUUCUGUUCUGUUCUGUUCUGCUCUGCUCUGCUCCGUUCUGUUCUGUUCUGCUCUGCUCCAUUCUGUUCUGUUCUGCUCUGCUCUGUUCUGUUCUGUUCUGUUCUGCUCUGCUCUGUUCUGCUCUGCUCUGUUCUGUUCUGUUCUGUUCUGCUCUGCUCUGCUCUGCUCUGCUCCGUUCCGCUCCGUUCUGUUCUGUUCUGUUCUGCUCUGCUCUGUUCUGUUCUGCUCUGCUAUGUUCUGCUCUGUUCUGUUCUGCUCUGUUCUGUUCUGUUCUGCUCCGUUCUGCUCCAUUCUGUUCUGUUCUGUUCUGCUCCGUUCUGUUCUGCUCCGUUGUGCUCCGUUCUGUUCUGCUCUGUUCUGUUCUGCUCCGUUCUGUUCUGCUCCGUUCUGCUCUGUUCUGUUGUGCUCCGUUCUGCUCUGUUCUGUUCUGUUCUGUUCUGUUCUGUUCUGCUCCAUUCUGUUCUGUUCUGUUCUGCUCCGUUCUGCUCUGUUCUGUUCUGUUCUGCUCCGUUCUGUUCUGCUCCGUUCUGUUCUGUUCUGUUCUGCUCCAUUCUGUUCUGUUCUGUUCUGUUCUGCUCCGUUCUGUUCUGUUCUGUUCUGCUCCGUUCUGCUCCGUUCUGUUCUGUUCUGCUCUGUUCUGUUCUGCUCCGUUCUGCUCUGUUCUGCUCUGCUCCGUUCUGCUCUGUUCUGUUCUGCUCCGUUCUGUUCUGUUCUGUUCUGCUCCGUUCUGUUCUGUUCUGUUCUGUUCUGCUCCGUUCUGCUCUGUUCUGUUCUGUUCUGUUCUGCUCCAUUCUGUUCUGUUCUGUUCUGUUCUGCUCCGUUCUGCUCUGUUCUGUUCUGCUCCGUUCUGUUCUGUUCUGCUCCGUUCUGUUCUGUUCUGCUCCAUUCUGUUCUGUUCUGCUCCGUUCUGCUCUGUUCUGUUCUGCUCCGUUCUGUUCUGUUCUGCUCCGUUCUGCUCCGUUCUGCUCCGUUCUGUUCUGUUCUGUUCUGCUCCGUUCUGUUCUGCUCUGUUCUGCUCCGUUCUGCUCCGUUCUGUUCUGCUGUGUUCUCAGUCAGGAUGAUAAUGAGGAGGAGUUGUUUUAUGGAUGAUGGGUUUGGGUGUUUUCUAUUUAUAAAUAUUUAUAAAUAGAAAACGAUCUCGCAGACGGAGGCCAUCAUUUAUUUAAUGUGAUACUGUUUAUCUGAACUUCAUCUCAUCAAUUCAACGAUCUAAAAAAAAUCACAUUUCUAUGCAAAUCAGUUCUUGUCAAACUGAGAGUUCAAAAGAUAAAACGUUCUGGAAGUAUGAUAUCUCACAGUGGGGACGGAUGUUGUGUUGGAUUAAACUCCUGAUAAUGAUAUCUCACAGUGGGGACGGAUGUUGUAUUGUAUUAAACUCCUGGCAAUGAUAUCUCACAGUGGGGAAGGAUGUUGUAUUAAACUCCUGACAAUGAUAUCUCACAGUGGGGAAGGAUGUUGUAUUAAACUCCUGAUAAUGAUAUCUCACAGUGGGGACGGAUGUUGUGUUGGAUUAAACUCCUGAUAAUGAUAUCUCACAGUGGGGACGGAUGUUGUGUUGGAUUAAACUCCUGAUAAUGAUAUCUCACAGUGGGGACGGAUGUUGUAUUGUAUUAAACUCCUGACAAUGAUAUCUCACAGUGGGGAAGGAUGUUGUAUUAAACUCCUGAUAAUGAUAUCUCACAGUGGGGACGGAUGUUGUAUUAAACUCCUGACAAUGAUAUCUCACUGACAUACACUACUGGUCAAACGUUUUAGAACACCUAGUCAUUCAAGAGUUUUUCUUAAUUUUUAAAAAUGUUCUACAUUGUAGAAUAGUAGGGAAGACAUCAAAACUAUGAAAUAACUCAUAAGGAACCAUCUAGUAACCAAAAAAGUGUUAAACAAACCAAACUAUAUUUUAUAUUUGAGAUUCUUCCAAAGUAGCCACCCUUUACCUUGAUGCCUCUUUGCAAACUCUUGGCAUUCUCUCAACCAGCGUCAUGAGGUAGUCACCUGGAAUGCAUUUCAAUUAACAGGUGUGCCUUCUUAAAAGUUAAUUUGUGGAAUUUCUUUUCUUCUUAAUGUGUUUGAGCCAAUCAGUUGUGUUGUGACAAGGUUGGGGUGGUAUACAGAAGAUAGCCCCAUUUGGUAAAAGACCAAGUCCAUAUUAUGGCAAGAACAGCUCAAAUAAGCAAAGAGAAAUGACAGUCCAUCAUUACUUUAAGAAAUUAAGGUUAGUGAAUGCGGAACAUUUCAAGAACUUUGAAAAGUUUCUUCAAGUGCAGUCGCAAAAACAAUCAAGCGCUAUGAUGAAACUGGUUCUCAUGAGGACCGCCACAGGAAAGGAAGACCCAGAGUUACCUCUGCUGCAAAGGAAAAGUUCAUUAGAGUUACCAGCCUCAGAAAUUGCAGCACAAAUAAAUGCUUCACAGAGUUUAAGUAACAGACAUAUCUCAACAUCAAUUGUUCAGAGGAGACUGUGUGAAUCAGGCCUUCGUAGUCAAUUUGCUGCAAAGAAACCACUACUAAAGGACACCAAUAAUAAUAAGAGACUUGCUUGGGCCAAGAAACACGAGCAAUGGACAUUAGACCAUUAGAACUCUGUACUUUUAGAUUGGUGGAAAUUUGUUCUUUGGUCUGGAGUCCAAAUUUGAGAUUUUUGGUUCCAACUGCCGUGUCUUUGUGAGACGCAGAGUAGGUGAACGGACGAUCUCCGCAUGUGCAUUUUCCCGCCGUGAAGCAUGGAGGAGGUGGUGUUAUGGUGUGGAGGUGCUUUGCUGGUGACACUGUCCGUGAUUAAUUUAGAAUUCAAGGCACACUUAAACAGCAUGGCUACCACAGCAUUCUGCAGCAAUAUGCCAUCCCUUCUGGUUUGGGCCUAUCAUUUGUUUUUCAACAGGUCUAUGACCCAACACACCUCCAGGCUGUUUAAGGGCUAUUUGACCAAGAAGGAGAGUGAUGAAGUGCUGCAUCAGAUGACCUGGCCUCCACAAUCACCCGACCACAACCCAAUUGAGAUUGUUUGGAAUGAGUCGGACCGCAGAGUGAAGGAAAAGCAACCAACAGGUGCUCAGCAUAUGUGGAAGCUUCUUCUUCUUCUUCAAUACUGUUGAAACAGCAAUCCAGGUGAAGCUGGUUGAGAGAAUGCCAAGAGUGUGCAAAGAUGUCAAGAAGGCAAAGUGUGGCUAUUUUAAAGAAUCUCAUAUAUAAAAUAUAAAAUAUAUUUUGAUUUGUUUAACACUUUUUUGGUUACUACAUGAUUCCAUAUGUGUUAUUUCAUAGUUUUGAUGUCUUCACUAUUAUUCUACAAUGUAGAAAAUAGUGAAAAUAAAGAAAAACCCUUAAAUCAGGAGGUGUUCUAAAACUUUUGGCCGGUAGUGGGGUCGGAAAUGAUUGACACCCUUGAUAAAGAUGAGCAAUACUGACUGUAUAAAAUAAAUAAUUCAAAUACUGAGCUAUGUUGCCUUCAGAAAGUAUUCACACCCCUUGACUUUUUUUCUGAUUUUGUUGUGCUACAGCCUGAAUUUAAAAUGGAUUAAAUGUAGAUUUUUGUAACGGAUUACAAAAAAACUGUAACUGUAAUCCAUUAUAUUACCAGCGAAAACAUUUUAAUCAGAUUACAGAUUACUUUUGAAAAACUAGAUGAUUACUUCUUGGAUUACUUUUAAAUUCAGAAAGGAUAUUUGCAAAAAUAAAAUCUAUAAUCCUUCUCUAUUUUCUCAAUGACAUUCAAACCAGCAUUGAAAAAAGGCUCAGGUUUAAAUUUGUUCAACGUGAACAAGUCUGACCACCAAUCAGAGACCACUAUGAUGACACACCAAAUGUGUUUGAUGAAUCGUGGGAAAAGAGCAGGAAUAGGCUUUUGAAGGCUACAGUCCAAGCUAUGUCUUCCAAUGGUACGACUGUUGUCGGCCAAUUUGAAUAAACGCAUGGAGGUAAGGAUGUCAGCAACGGUUGUAGUCUACAGCGAUACGGAUAUCACUCAUUACUGAUAUCUACAUAGCGUAUUGAUGUGAAUCACACUGCUGCUCUCUCAUUUUGCUAUUUGCGCCUUACGGAUUGUAGUUGUUCUGGACGGCUGUUUACAAAUCUAAAUGUGUAUUUGAACUCGA
rnacentral:lncRNA from 1 species